AUACGCUAGCGGCAGGCCUAAUACAUGCAAGUCGAACGGCAGCGGGUCCAGCAAUGGAUGCCGGCGAGUGGCGCACGGGUGCGUAACACGUAUGCAAUCUACCCUUAACGUGGGGGAUACGCCCGAGAAAGUCGGGAUUAAUACCCCAUAAUAUUAUGAAGUGGCAUCAUUUUAUAAUUAAAGUUCCGACGGUUUUGGAUGAGCAUGCGCGACAUUAGCUAGUUGGCGAGGUAACGGCUCACCAAGGCUGCGAUGUCUAGGGGUUCUGAGAGGAUUCACCCCCACACUGGUACUGAGACACGGACCAGACUCCUACGGGAGGCAGCAGUAAGGAAUAUUGGUCAAUGGACGCAAGUCUGAACCAGCCAUGCCGCGUGAAGGAAGACGGCCCUACGGGUUGUAAACUUCUUUUGUACGGGAAAAAACCACCGGUCGUGAACCGGUGCUGAUGGUACCGUAAGAAUAAGCAUCGGCUAACUCCGUG
rnacentral:rRNA from 1 species